AUUGAACGCUGGCGGCAUGCCUUACACAUGCAAGUCGAGCGGCAGCGCGGGGCGAACCCUCGCGGCGAGCGGCGAACGGGUAGAGUAAUGCAUCGGAACGUGUCCUUUUGUUGGGGGAGUAACCAGUCGAAAGAACUGGCUAAUACCGCAUGAGCUCGAGAGAGGAAAGCGGGGGAGUCCCAACGGGAAACGUGAGGGACCGUCGCGCGAGAGGAGCGGCCGAUGCCCGAUUAGCUAGUUGGUGAGGUAAAGACUCACCAAGGCGACGAUCGGUAGCUGGUUUGAGAGAACGACCAGCCACACUGGGACUGAGACACGGCCCAGACUCCUACGGGAGGCAGCAGUGGGGAAUUUU
rnacentral:rRNA from 1 species